UACGGAGGGUGCAAGCGUUAUCCGGAUUCACUGGGCUUAAAGGGUGCGUAGGCGGCUAGGUAAGUCAGUGGUGAAAUCUCCGAGCUUAACUCGGAAACUGCCGUUGAUACUAUUUGUCUUGAAUACUGUGGAGGUAAGCGGAAUAUGUCAUGUAGCGGUGAAAUGCUUAGAUAUGACAUAGAACACCAAUUGCGAAGGCAGCUUACUACGCAGUUAUUGACGCUGAGGCACGAAAGCGUGGGGAUCAAACAGG
rnacentral:rRNA from 1 species